GUUUCUAUAGUUGAAUAACAACGAUGAUUUUUCAUGUCAU
rnacentral:tRNA from 1 species